UACGUAUGGUGCAAGCGUUAUCCGGAUUUACUGGGUGUAAAGGGAGCGCAGGCGGCACGGCAAGCCUGAUGUGAAAGCCCGCGGCCCAACCGCGGGACUGCAUUGGGAACUACCGGGCUGGAGUGCCGGAGAGGUAGGCGGAAUUUCUAGUGUAGCGGUGAAAUGCGUAGAUAUUAGGAGGAACACCAGUGGCGAAGGCGGCCUACUGGACGGUGACUGACGCUGAGGCUCGAAAGCGUGGGGAGCAAACAGG
rnacentral:rRNA from 1 species